UCCCCAAAUUCCCAAAUCCCCAAAAUUCCCAACUCCCAAAAUUCCCAAAAACUCCCAAAUAUUCCAAAUUCUGACCUUUUUUUUUUGGGUUUUUUGAUAAAAUUCUUCCCCAAAAUUCCAAUUUCUGGACCGUUUUUUGGGGGUUUUUAAAAUCCCCAAAUUCCCAACUCCCAAAAUUCCCAAAAAUUCCCAAAAUUCUGGAAUUUCUCACCCUUUUUUGGGGGUUUUUUGGCCGAGUUCAGCUGCCCGCUGACGUCCUGGAGCCGCUUCUCCAAUUCCCGUUUUUUCUCCAGGGCCAGCUCCUCUUUCGUCUUCCCCACCGGCUUCUUCAGGGCUGGAAAAGUCCAGAAAAAGAGGGAAAAGCUGGGAAAAAAAUGGGGAAAAAUGGGGGAAAAGUUGGGGGAAUAUCCGGAAAAAAUUGGGGGGGAAUCGGGGAAAAAAUGGGGAAAAAAUGAGGGGAAAUUGGGGGGAAAUUGGGGGAAUAUUGGGGGAAAAAUUGAGGGAAAAUUGGGGAAAAAUUGGGGGAAAAUAAGGAAAAAAUUAGGGAAAAUUCAAGGGAAAAUUGAGGGAAAAUAAGGAAAAAAAUGGGGAAAAUUGGGGAAAAUUUGAGGGAAAAUGGGGGAAAAAAAUCGAGGGAAAAUUGGGGAAAAUCAGGUGAAAAUUGGGAAAAACUGGGAAAAACCAGAAAAAAAUGGAGAAAAAAUUGGGAUAAAAUUGAAAAAAAAAAAGAGGAAAAAUUGGGAAAAAAUUGAGGGAAAAUUGGGGGAAAAUCAGGGGGAAAUUGAAAAAAAAAUGGGAAAAAUUAGGAAAAAAUUGGAGAAAAAUUUGGGGUAAAUUGGGGAAAAGUUGGGAAAAAAUUGGAAAAAUAGAGGGAAAAUUGGGGGGAACUGGGAGAAAACUGAGGAAAAAAUGGGGAAAAUUGGAGAAAAAUUUGGAGGGAAAAUCGUGGAAAAAAUCAGGGAAAAAUGGAGGAAAUUUGGGAAAAAUUUGAGAAAAUCAGGGGAAAAUUGGUGGAAAAUUGAAAAAAAAAGGGUAAAAAA
rnacentral:lncRNA from 1 species